GAAUUUUCUUUAGUUAAAAGUAUGACAAUGAAAUCCACAAAUUUAUUAUACAGCUGCAGUAAACGUAACACAGACCUGGCAACCCAAUUUCUAUACUUCUGAGUCGUUAUUAUAUUAUUACAGAGCAGGACAGGCCACGCCCCCAAACAGGUCACACCCACACGCUGUCCUGAGACUUUACUAAAUUCUACUUACUAAAAUCAUCAUGAUUUCCUUGUUUUUUAUAAACUGACUAAUAAAAUAAACGCGCAUUUCCUGUUUUAGAUCCUGCUGGAAUUCUAAACCCCAGAACAUCAUCCAGAAACAUGGACCUGGCAAAACUAACAGAGGAGGGCAUUGUGAACCAACACGUGAGAUGUGAGUGUUCUUCAUCAUCAUCAUCAUAUAUAAUAAUAAUAAUAAUAAUAAUAAUAAUAAUGAUCCUGUUUCUGUGAUUUUCUCUCUCAGUGUCCACUCAGAGUAAGAGUCUAUUUAUUUUCCUCUUUGCUCACAUUUCACUGAAUUUAUUAAGUUUAUUUAAUGUUUAUUCAUUAUAUUUAUCACAACACACACACACACACACACACACACACACACGUGUAUUUUCUCUCCUGUAGUGAUGAACUGGCUGAAUAAAGUUGUAGAUGUGGGUAAGUCUUUUCUGUUUUAUGAAUAAAUGUUCUUUAGGUUCUUGCUGUAUAUGUGUGUGUGUGUGUGUGUGUGUGUGUUAUAUUUAUACACAAACUACUAUUCCGAUGUUAAUCUGUUCAUUCUUUUUCAUUCGGUUUUUGUGCAGGUAAAGGAAUUGCAAAUGGAGUCUGUCGAACAGGUACAGCAGCAUCAAUAACAUCAACAUCAACAACAACAACAAUAAUAAUAAUAAUAACAAAUGAUCUGCUUUUACAGUGAAUCUGAUUUAAUCCAGACUGAACAGUGGUAAGAGCCACCAAUAGAAAUAAACUUUUAUUAUAUUUGGGAGUUUAUUGGCUAAUCUUAAGCCCCGCCCAUAUUUAAGAACCCUAGUACGAUCAUCUUUACUGAAUAAAUAAAUGUUUUAAAUAUGUUAAUACUAUAUUCUAGAUUGGAGUAUGUUAAUUUUAACAGAGAACAUACCUCUGUGUGUGUGUGUGUGUGUGUGUGUGUGUGUGUGUGUAUACCUCCACAAGGUUAAACUGAUCCAGACUGAAGAAUCCAGAGGAAAAUCACACUUCCAUAUCCUCGGCUGUGUUCCAAAUCACACUCCGAGCUCAACCUUUAAAUCACUCUUUAUGCCAAUGUGUAAAAAUAAUAUCAUUUUAUAAACUGGAAAUGAGAAGAUUGUGAACCUUUUCUGCACAUUUCGGGUGUAAUAAUGAGUAGAAUCAGAGUAAUGUUGAUAUUGAGUAGAGCUCCAUGCUGCCCCCUUGUGUUGGAAUCUAAAACUGCAACUACACUGAGAAUCAGUAAAGUACAGUAUUAUAAGUGCAGAAAAAUCUGUGUGUGUGUGUGUGUGUGUGUGUGUGUGUGUGAAUGUAAUUUUUUCAGUGAUUAUUUUUCUCACGUGUACACAAUUUGAACGUCCAGGUAUCCUGCACAGGAAUCAGGGUGUAAAAUAUAUUAAAAGUAAAAUCUCUUCAUUACAGCAUAAUAAGAAUAAGAGAUUUCACGUUACAUAUUUUUCCCCACAAAUGUCACAUGGGUACACGGUGAAGGGGGGACCAUACGGCCAGAUGAUAAUCGAUACUGAGAGAGAGGGAGAGAGAGAUCAGAGUAUAAAGUGUGAAGAACCAUGCAGGAAAAUACUUUGCCUUUUAUUUCCUUUUUAACUCUUUUUUUAACAAAUAUGUCGAACAUUACACUCAGGACAACACACAGUUCAGAUUCAGGUUUUUUUCGUCUUUAUCAUGGAAACGCGAUUAAACGUGUUUCUUUAACGUGUUUACAUUUUCAUUCUCUCUUUACAGAUCUGUGUACAAAAACAAUAAGUUACAGUCGCUUUGAAUCAGUUACUCUAAACUAUACAACACCGUCUCCACGCGCCACAAAUAAAUAAUUCACUAUAAAAAUGACCACAGAGGGGGCGGGGGCGGGGCGAGGGGGCGGGGCUAAACCAGACCAGGAAGUGACCGAAACCCCGGAAUGACCAAUGCUGUUGAUUAAAGUGGAAGUCAGUGCUUUAUAUAUGACAUGAUGUCACAGCCAGGACGCGUCACACACCCCUCGUCCAAUCACGUGCAAGCAGUGAGCGUGUUCCUCAGAGCUGUCUUGUGAUUGGCUGGUGGAUUCACGUCAAAAUGAAAUCAUUGUUUUACUAAAGUCUGCGUACAACAUAUGCUUUUCAAAGUGCCACUGUGUGUGUGUGUGUGUGUGUGUGUGUGUGUGUGUGUGUGUGUGUGUUUCAUACAUUAUGACCUUACAAACGUGUGUGGGUCCCCCAAACAUCUCCAAUGAAGAGUGUGAGUGUGUAAUGCUCACAUCUGGGUGUCUCGCACACACAAUCACAAUUACAAAACACACACACUAGUUCUAACUGCACUUGCACGAUCCUGCUAAGUGAAUGAAGUCUAGCUGUUAGCAUGACGCAAGUCACAUGACUAGCGGUCCUCCAUAAGAAACCAGCCUGCUGGUAUUGUCACCAUGGUAACAAGGGGUACACAUAUACAUGGCACAGAGAAGUGAGACGUUGCACUUAGUGCUCGCUCUCUCUCUCUCUCUCUCUCACACACACACACACACACACACACACAGAGAAUAAAGUGGUUUAUAUCUGCAUACUCUGUUGAGAAGAAUGCUAAUUUUAAAACAAGUCUCACUAGAUUCGUGAGGUUAUGGCUAGCACACACACACACACACACA